UGGGGAAUCUUGCGCAAUGGGCGAAAGCCUGACGCAGCAACGCCGCGUGGAGGAUGAAGGCCCUUGGGUUGUAAACUCCUGUCGGCUGGGAAGAAAUCGUUCGGGGUUAAUACCCCCGGACGUUGACUGUACCAGCAAAGGAAGCCCCGGCUAACUCUGUGCCAGCAGCCGCGGUAAUACAGAGGGGGCCAGCGUUAUUCGGAAUUAUUGGGCGUAAAGGGCGCGUAGGCGGCCUUGCGUGUCUUCCGUGAAAUCCCUCGGCUUAACCGAGGACGUGCGGAAGAAACUGCGAGGCUCGAGUCCGGGAGAGGGGGGUGGAAUUCCCAGUGUAGCGGUGAAAUGCGUAGAUAUUGGGAGGAACACCGGUGGCGAAGGCGGCCCCCUGGACCGGUACUGACGCUGAGGCGCGAAAGCGUGGGUAGCAAACGGG
rnacentral:rRNA from 1 species